rnacentral:rRNA from 1 species
GUCGAACGGAAGAAUACGGCGACGAGAUUUCGGUCAAAUCAAGUGUAUCUCUUUUGGCGGACGGGUGAGUAACGCGUGGGUAACCUGCCAUAUACAGGGGGAUAACACUUAGAAAUAGGUGCUAAUACCGCAUAAGCGCACAUGGCCGCAUGGCCAGGUGUGAAAAACUCCGGUGGUAUAUGAUGGACCCGCGUCUGAUUAGCUAGUUGGUGAGGUAACGGCCCACCAAGGCGACGAUCAGUAGCCGGCCUGAGAGGGUGGACGGCCACAUUGGGACUGAGACACGGCCCAAACUCCUACGGGAGGCAGCAGUGGGGGAUAUUGGACAAUGGGGGGAACCCUGAUCCAGCGACGCCGCGUGAGUGAAGAAGUAUCUCGGUAUGUAAAGCUCUAUCAGCAGGGAAGAAAGAAAUGACGGUACCUGAGUAAGAAGCCCCGGCUAACUACGUGCCAGCAGCCGCGGUAAUACGUAGGGGGCAAGCGUUAUCCGGAAUUACUGGGUGUAAAGGGAGCGUAGACGGUGAUGUAAGUCUGGAGUGAAAGGCGGGGGCCCAACCCCCGGACUGCUCUGGAAACUAUAUGACUGGAGUGCAGGAGAGGUGAGCGGAAUUCCUAGUGUAGCGGUGAAAUGCGUAGAUAUUAGGAGGAACACCAGUGGCGAAGGCGGCUCACUGGACUGUAACUGACGUUGAGGCUCGAAAGCGUGGGGAGCAAACAGGAUU